UACGUAGGGGGCAAGCGUUGUCCGGAUUCAUUGGGCGUAAAGAGCGCGCAGGCGGUCGUUCAAGUCGCGUGUGAAAGCCCCCGGCUCAACUGGGGAGGGUCACGCGAUACUGAUCGACUCGAAGGCAGGAGAGGGUAGUGGAAUUCCCGGUGUAGUGGUGAAAUGCGUAGAUAUCGGGAGGAACACCAGUGGCGAAGGCGACCACCUGGCCUGUUCUUGACGCUGAGGCGCGAAAGCUAGGGGAGCAAACGGG
rnacentral:rRNA from 1 species